rnacentral:rRNA from 1 species
CCUACGGGAGGCAGCAGUGAGGAAUAUUGGUCAAUGGACGAGAGUCUGAACCAGCCAAGUAGCGUGAAGGAUGACUGCCCUAUGGGUUGUAAACUUCUUUUAUAAAGGAAUAAAACGAGGCACGUGUGCCUUUUUGCAUGUACUUUAUGAAUAAGGCUCGGCUAACUCCGUGCCAGCAGCCGCGGUAAUACGGAGGAUCCGAGCGUUAUCCGGAUUUAUUGGGUUUAAAGGGAGCGUAGAUGGGUUGUUAAGUCAGUUGUGAAAGUUUGCGGCUCAACCGUAAAAUUGCAAUUGAUACUGGCAUUCUUGAGUACAGUUGAGGUAGGCGGAAUGCGUGGUGUAGCGGUGAAAUGCUUAGAUAUCACGAAGAACCCCGAUUGCGAAGGCAGCUUACUAAACUGUGACUGACAUUGAUGCUCGAAAGUGUGGGUAUCAAACAGGAUUAGAUACCCGAGUAGUC